AAGGGCAGAGCUGGUUGUGGGAUGGACAGAGACCUGGGUUGGAACUAGCUGACCUGCCAUUUCCUGCCCCAAUGACCUCAUGCAGGGGCACUAACUUCUCAGAGCCACCACCCUUUCUGCCUUACAUAGACUUUUGUGUGAAUCCAAGUGACAUGAGGAUGGAAGAUACCUUCCAGGUGUAAGUCAUUAUUUUUAUUACUUAGGAAGUUUUAAAAAAAGAAAGGAUUCUCCAGGCCUUUUCUCCUGUCCUUCAUAGGCUUACUGCCCUCCUUCAACUCAAACAGAGAGCUCCUUGUCCCUGAAGGCCACCAGAGCCUAGUCACGGGGCAGUGCCUGCAGCCAAGGGUGGCUUUUCUGCCAGGCCCAGCGAGGCUCCUGCCUCCAGAUAACCCUGGUCCUCCCUUCCUCCUGCCCCAGCGCUUCCCACACAGCUGCGGCCUCAUUAUCCAGGGUGACUGCGAGCGAGGAAAGGAGCUUAACCAGGGCUAGGCUUUCAAGUGUUCAUAAUAAAGCUUCAAAGUUCACACCUUCAUUAAGAUGUGAAGAGUCGGGUCCUCCCCCCACUUCUCCUGGGGCUAUUGUUCCCUUCCCAUCCGGCUGCAGAUUCAAAAGACAAGCGGGAUUGGUUUUCUUUGUCCAGACAGCUCUCCUAACCAGAAAGGCUAGACCUGUUUGUUAAGAAGAGAAAGCUUCUUUCCUGCAGCCCCCUUCAGACCUGCUGUGAAGGUUUCGCAGGCGCUGGGGAAUGUGGGCAUUUCUCAGGGCUGCGAGGGCUGUCUCUGGGAAGCAGGACUGGACUUGUUUUCUGGGGUCUCGAGGGAGGGGAUCUGGGACCAGCAGGUGGAAGUAAAGGAGAGGCAGGUUUCAGAAUCCUAGAAGGGAGCGCUCUCUGCCGGGCAGAGGUGUGCAAAAGUGGCCCUUGGUGCUGGGGGCAGUGACAAGGGCAGGAGCAGGGCGCCUGACUUUGUGCAGGCAAGCUACAGAAGACGUGAGGUUUUGGCUGUGAAGUUCACCCUUUUGGGCCCCCUCCGGUCAUGUGUGCUGGGACCUCCUGACUCCAUGACCUCUGCUUCUGCAGGGCCACUUCCCAGCUUUUUCCUUUAAACCGCCCCAGUCCUCCAGACUCCCAGCUGUGGACGUCUUCAUAAAUACAUGUGUGGCCUCCUUGCCUUUUCUGUUUUUCUUUUAGCUCUUUGAGAGCAAAGCUAUCAAGACAUCUCAGAGCCUCCUUUGUUACUGAGAAAGCAUUAGCUUCCUUUGGCUACACUUAGAGGUUCUGAGGAUCGGUUUCCUCCUCACUGCACCGUCUCCAGGACAGGGCAGAGCUCAGAGAAGCCCCAGGCUCCAAAGUUGAAACAGUUGUGAAUGGUUCUCCUGGGUAGGAGGCAGCCUCACAAAAGAGCCCUCUCUCCUCCCCCGGGGAAGGACACAGGGAAUUUUCUGUGAGGGCACACACAUGCUUUGGAUGAUCUUGUGGUUUCAUGGAGAGCAACAAAGCAAAGGCUGGUGUUUAGGUGAGACAGCCUAAAGGGCUUGGGGUAUGUGAUUACAGAUCAGCAAGUUUCACAAGCAACGUGUUUCUUUCUAUUGAGCAGAAAAAGGAGGGUGAAAAAAAAAACAAACCAUGGUGUGUUGGAAAGAUGAUGGGCCUUGUCAGCAGACCUGGGUUGCAUCACAGCCCUGCCACUUACUAUUGGGGGACUUUGGACAUGCCAUGUCAACUCUCUGAGCCUCUGUAUCCUCAAGUUUCAUCAGGCAGCAGACCUAUCCCUGGAUUUCCAUUAUGGCUCAGUGGGUUAAGGACUUGAUGUCUCUGUGAGGAUGUGGGUUUGAUCCCUGGUCUUGCUCAGUGGGUUAAAGACCCUGUGCUGCCACCAGCUGCUUGUAGGUCACAGAUGUGGCUUGGAUCCAGUGUUGCCACGCUGUGGUAUAGGCCAGCAGCUACUGCUCCAAUUUGACCUCUAGCCUGGGAACUUCCCUAUGGCACAGGUUUGGCCCUAAAAAGAGAAGAAGAGAAAAAAAAAAAAAAAAAAACCAUCCUAUGUAGUAGACCUAAGGUUUAGUGGGUGAUGUCCAUGGAAAGUUCCAGAGGCCCUUAUUAAAUAUUAAUUCCCCCUCCCUUAUCAUUAUAUUUAAUAUUCAGUCUCUAAGAAGUUGUGUUAUUGGUCUCUUAAUAAAAGAUUAUUCUGUAGUAUGAUUAUUUCCAUUUGUAAAUGUUCAUGGGUGUCAUUAAUGGACAAUGUCCUUUUGUCUGUUAGAUAUCUCUUCUGUAGACAUAUGCAUGUGUUCAUUAUGCUGUUUGUUGUAGGGGCGUUUGUUGUAGUGGUGCUGGUAAGAGCCAGAACUAGGAGCUGGCCUCUAUGUCAUUAAACAAAGUAUGAUUAUACUAGGGAAUAUCCAGCAGCUCCGAAAAAAGAUGCAGACCUCUCAGUGAGCUGAUGUGGAAAGACCCAGAAGCAGUAAUGCUGAGUAAGAGUAAAUUGCAGCAUAACGGGCAGUGUGAUACAGUUUUUUUUAAAGAGAGAUUUAUGCGUAUGUGUAGAUAUGUAUGUAUCAGUGCUCAGAAGAGGUCCUGGAGGAAACACAUCAAUCCAUGGACAGUGGUUUCUAGUGGGGGGUGUGGAGUGGGCUUGGAAGAGUGGGGGCAAAGGGAAAGAGCUUUUGUUACCUCCAUCUAUAUAACUGUGUUCCUAGAAUGUGGUACAAUGAGAAUGUAGCUACUUCUGAGAGAGUGGAGAACGACAAACUGAGGAGACAGCAAAAAGAUCCGUGGCUGCCAGGGUUUGAUGGGAGAGAGAAAUGAAUAGGGUGAUUGAAGGGAUUUAGGACAGUGGAAAUACUCUGGAUGAUACCAUAAUGGUGGGUGGGUCUGUGUCAUUAUACGUUUGUCCAAACCUAUGGAAGGUACAGCAGCAAGAUCAAGGCCAAGUGUAAACUCUGGACUUCAGGUGAUUAUGAUGAGGCCGUGUAGGUUCAUCGAUUGUGACCAGGGUACUGCUCUGGUGGGGGAUGUUGAUAACGGGGCGGGGAGAGGGGGGAGGCUUUGUCUACCUGGGGCAGAGGGGAGUUAGGGCAGAUCUCUGAACUUUCAGAUUUGCUGUGGUUCUAAAACUCCUCUAAAAAGUAAAGUUCUGAAGAAAAGAGAGAGGAGUUCCCAUCAUGGUGCAGCGGAAACAAAUCCGACUAGGAACCAUGAGAUUGCAGGUUCAGUCCCUGGCCUCGCUCAGUGGGUUCAGGAUCCGGCGUUGCUGUGAGCUGUGGUGUAAGUCGCAGACGUGGUUCAGAUCCUGUGUUGCUGUGGUUCUGGCGUAGACCAGUGGCAACAGCUCCAAUUAGACCCCUAGCCUGGGAACCUCCAUAUGCCCCGGGUGCAGCCC
rnacentral:lncRNA from 1 species